rfam:Citrus clementina cultivar Clemenules unplaced genomic scaffold scaffold_4, whole genome shotgun sequence.
AUAUCAUUAUGAGGACAUCUCUUGAGUAACUCCAUGAAUCUUUCUCAUGCAUCAUACAAACUUUCAUCUUCAAGUUGAUGGAAAAUUUUGUGAUCUCAUUUCUCAAUUU